GCUGCCAACUCCGCUGAAUGUCUGGCAUUGGCUCUUUGUUCCCCCCACCCUGACAAACGGCAAUCCUGCUCAGCCGUUACACGGAACCCAAAUGCAAUCGAACGAGAGAUAACAAAGGUAAUGAGAGGGGCAUGCGCUGGUGAAUGAACAACUACCCAAGGUGCCUCCAUCGGUGGUUGAAGAACUGUCCCUUGGCCGGCCCCACCAACGACCCUACUCUAAGACGGCAUAUAUUUCAUCAUCGUCAUCAUCAAAGGCAUCGUUAAGCCCUUGGCAUCAUUAUAGACGUUCAGGAACAUGUGGAUACUUCGUCUCUAAGUUUUUUGAUAAGAAGCUGGAGGGGAGCCAGCUCACAGGAGCUCUAAGGAGGGAUCAACACUAGGUUGGUUUUAUUAGUCCUGAAGACCAAAGAGGCAUGAUGAUGGCUUGAUGAUAAAGAUAAAAGGCCUCUGAGGCAUGAUGCUGUUGAACAUCAGAAACCUGUUUUAACUCUUGAGGUCACAAGAGGAAGAACAAGGGAUUUCCCAGAGAAACACAAGGGUUCAUGCUCAGCAAGUUAAGUUUAAGGUUUCAAAUUCAUACGAUAAUAAAUCUAAUCGUCACCA